rnacentral:rRNA from 1 species
UAUGGAGGAGGCAAACGUUAUCCGGAAUUAUUGGGCGUAAAGCGUCCGUAGGUGGUUCACCAAGUCUGCUGUCAAAGGGUGGGGCUUAACCUCAUAAAGGCAGUGGAAACUGGUGAGCUAGAGUGCGGUAGGGGUAAGGGGAAUUCCCAGUGUAGCGGUGAAAUGCGUAGAGAUUGGGAAGAACAUCGGUGGCGAAAGCGCCUUACUGGGCCUGCACUGACACUGAGGGACGAAAGCUAGGGGAGCGAAAGGG